rnacentral:rRNA from 1 species
CUUGGUCAUUUAGAGGAAGUAAAAGUCGUAACAAGGUUUCCGUAGGUGAACCUGCGGAAGGAUCAUUACUGCUUGCUCAUGGCCGCCUGGAGGGGAAACCCCCUGGCGGUACGGCAACACCCACCCUUGACUACAUAUACCUUUCGUUAUUUCCCUCGGCGGGGCAACCCGCCGCUGGGGACAUUAAAACCCUCUUGUAUCAAGCAUCAAAACUUCUGAAACAAACUUAAAAUAUAACAACUUUCAACAAUGGAUCUCUUGGUUCUGGCAUCGAUGAGGAACGCAGCGAAAUGCGAUAAGUAGUGUGAAUUGCAGACUUUAGUGAAUCAUCGAAUCUUUGAACGCACAUUGCGCCCCUUGGUAUUCCAUUGGGCAUGCCUGUUCGAGCGUCAUUUACAACCUCAAGCUCUGCUUGGUGUUGGGCGUCUGUCCCUGCUUCACGCGAGGACUCGCCCUAAAUUUAUUGGCAGCGACAUCGUCGGCUUCUCGCGCAGCACAUCGCGCAUGAGAAGACUCCCGGCGGGCUCGCGAUCAUUAAGAAACCACACAGUUUGACCUCGAAUCAGGUAGGGAUACCCGCUGAACUUAAGCAUAUCAAUAAGCGGAGGA